UACGGAGGGAGCUAGCGUUGUUCGGAAUUACUGGGCGUAAAGCGCGCGUAGGCGGCUUUGUAAGUUAGAGGUGAAAGCCCGGGGCUCAACUCCGGAACUGCCUUUAAGACUGCAUCGCUUGAAUCCGGGAGAGGUGAGUGGAAUUCCGAGUGUAGCAGUGAAAUGUGUAGAUAUUCGGAAGAACACCAGUGGCGAAGGCAGCAGAUUGGGCCGGUAUUGACGCUCAGGCACGAAAGCAUGGGGAUCAAACAGG
rnacentral:rRNA from 1 species